GGGCUCCUUUUCGCUACAUGGCUACAAAGGUUUGGAACUUACCCAGUGUUUGUUUUUAUCUCCGACUUAGGGAACACAAGUGUGGAUAUGCUCAACAGAAACGGUUCGCCAACUGUUCUGAAGCACUUCAGAGAAAAGACUGAAAACCCGCCGCAGGCUGGAGAAGUGGUUCAGUCUUUAAAGGCUAGCUCACAGGUUCACUGUCACGUCUCCCAUCUGCAAUGGACACAUCAAAGGUCUACUUGAAUUUAAAGGCAUCCAGGAGUCCAGAGCCUCAGCGUGCAUCACCUCCAUGUCUUCCCCCAGAACUGGGAGGGGUUUGUGAAGAUAAGGGAACAGACACACAGCUACAGACAGAACCCCUGACCUAUCCCAGGACCAGAGACAGCCAUCUGAGAGUCCUCAUUGCAUUGUGACUUAUGAUAAAUAAACGGGAAUGACAUUCAUAUCA
rnacentral:lncRNA from 1 species